rnacentral:rRNA from 1 species
UACGAAGGGGGCGAGCGUUGUUCGGAUUUACUGGGCGUAAAGGGUUCGUAGGCGGUGUGGCAAGUCGGGAGUGAAAUCUCUGGGCUCAACCCAGAGUCUGCUUCCGAAACUGCUGUGCUUGAGUGUGGGAGAGGCGCGUGGAAUUGCAGGUGUAGCGGUGAAAUGCGUAGAUAUCUGCAGGAACACCCGUGGCGAAAGCGGCGCGCUGGACCACUACUGACGCUGAGGAACGAAAGCUAGGGGAGCAAACAGG